CCAUCGGGCCAGAAUAUAAAAACAAGGCUACAUAAAACAGGCCUAAGAGGGAAAGAGCAGGCCAAAAACAAUACGCUUCUCUCUCCCCUUGUUUUUACAGGACCUCAACUUCUUUUCCCAGUGAGGGGGAGGAGGAGGAGGAGAGGGGAGAAAGCCCAGUGACCCUGUGCCUCCUCGCCAGGACAGAGGCCUUUGCAGGCAGGGAGUCAAAGAAAACUUUUCCAAGACUGAUUACCAAGAGGGUAACUAGGUACACAGAGCACAUGUGAACAGGCUCCUCGUUUCCAAUUCAGGACUGUCAGAUGGUGAUUAAUGACUAACAGCCACAGAACAGCCUUGAUUGCCAACUGCUGUAUUGUUAAUCCUGACAUUUAAUGAGGCCGGACACAACUCCAGCACAAUUCCACACCAUCAUCUGCAAAUAGCACUCGACGGACUUAAUUGGUUAAGUAUUUGUGUGUGGGGGGCGGGGGGGUGGGGAGAAAGAGAGAGAGAAUAGAGAGAUAUAAAGAGCAAAAGAAAGGGGCGAGGUCUCUGUAAUUGUGCCCUUUGUGGGCAUCUAUAUUUUAAUGCAUGUAACUGUGUUAUCGCAUGAGUCAUCUGCGAUAUAACCUUGGUCCCCAACAGAAACAUCCCUAAUAGGGUGAAACCUCCCACCACCACCCUCCCCACCCCACUCCAUCUGACCCCUACGGCGGUGUCCUUCCCACCACCAUCACUGCUGCUGUCUGAGGGGCAGCUGGAAACUGGCAUGUUUGUGAAGUUAAAAUACAUGAAAGGAAGUUGAAAGAAGAAGUUGUCUCGAAGUGGGCCAGCAUCCAGGGCUCCUGAGAAGCCACUUUUUCACUGGACUCUGAUCAAUGGGGCCUUGGCCCGCCUGACUGGGUGGUUCCUCCUCUGCCAAGAGAGAAGUAUGUUUCCCCCAUUCCGGAACUCAACGCUUUCUUAGGAGAUGAACAGAAUUCACCUUAUUGUUCUAAAAACAGAGUCCCAGGCAACAGGGACAGAGAGACUGGCCCAGCAGGGGCUCUCUGGGCCAACUGAGCAAGGUGACAGGGCCCAGGAAAGGAGCUGUUGCCUGCACAAGGGCAGAUGGAGUCAAGGAAUCAGUGUUCAUGGGAUCCUGGCUGUCCCCACAGUGUCGUGGCUGAACCUUACAAGAACAGAAGCAAGUGAAGCACAGGUAGCCAGCCACCUCAAGGGGGAAGUAUUGAUAACGAAGGGACUCAAAGCAGCAUAGACAUGGGAUGCUGAGGGGCCAAGUGAGCAGAGCAGAGAGUGAGUGCUGCAAGUCCUCGGAGGGGUCAACCGGGACCCAAGCAUCCAGAAAAGGCAGGGACCAUGCAAAGGGGUCCGAAAAAUGGGACCUUCAGUGGAAAGCACUGAGAAGACCAUUAUUCAGUCUCUGUGCCCAGAAUCACUGUCUGCCAGGCUCUGGCCAACCUGUAGCCUCUCCGUGCUGAAAACGACCCGCUAAAAAAGCCAAGAGGGAAGGACCCAGCACACAGCCGUGAACCACAUAUACACGAAGAGGGCCUAAAGUGAAAAAGAUAAACUUUAAAUCAAACGGAAACUUUUUCCAGCAACUUCCACUCUUGUGAUACUGAACUGAACUGAAGCAGAAGAUUUUAAGAGUUGCCUGAAUCCUUUGGACCUGCUUAUUGGCUUAAAAAGUCUAAUUGUGAAAUUGACUUAAAAAUUCCUAAUUGUGAAAGAAGGGGUCUCUUCUUUGGCAUGGCACUCUCACUAACAAUUUUCUUGGUAAGAGGACCCAACAAACAGCAAUAGAAAUAGAAAACUAUGGAUUGCUAGGUGAGAGUAUUUUUUAACCUGCUUCAAUCUACAACUGCAAAAUGAACUGGCCCAAUUUAAUUAGAAAAAUUUCAGUUUCUGACCACUGAUCUACAUUACUGAAAGGUUACAUGUGAAAUAAAUGUGGGGUGUGUGUGUGUGUUUGUGUCUGAAAUUGAAUCAUUUUCUAACUCAUUCACUAUAAAAAAGAAAUAGACGGGAUCAUUUGAACUCUGCCUUUGCAAUUUAUCAUCUUCGUGAUCUUAGACAAUCUCUUAAUUUCUCUAAGCUUCCACUUUCUCCUCUAAAAUGGAGUUGAACUCAAAGGGCUGACCUAAAGUUUACAUAAAAUGAGAAAAUGUAAGGUACUGGGGCUGAUACAUAGACAGUAUUCAAUAAAGCUUUAUG
rnacentral:lncRNA from 10 species